UUCCGGUUGAUCCUGCCGGACCCCACUGCUAUCGGGGUGGGACUAAAACAUGCAAGUCGAGCGCCUCCAAGCUAUGGUGAAGGCGCGGCAAACGGCUCAGUAACACGUGGCCAACCUACCCUUGGGACGGAGACAACCCCGGGAAACUGGGGCUAAUCCCCGAUAGGUGAGGAAUCCUGGAAUGGACCCUCGCCCAAAAGACGUUGAGUCCAUGCUAUUCAGCGUCGCCCAAGGAUGGAGCCGCGACCGAUCAGGUAGUUGGUGAGGCAACGGCUCACCAAGCCUAUAACCGGUACGGGCCGUGAGAGCGGGAGCCCGGAGAUGGGCACUGAGACAAGGGCCCAGGCCCUACGGGGCGCAGCAGUUGCGAAAACUCCGCAAUGCGCGAAAGCGUGACGGGGCUACCCCGAGUGCCGCCCGUUGAGGGCGGCUUUUCCACGGUGUAAGGAGCCGUGGGAAUAAGGAGAGGGCAAGACUGGUGUCAGCCGCCGCGGUAAUACCAGCUCUCCGAGUGGUGGGGACGAUUAUUGGGCUUAAAACGUUCGUAGCCGGCUUAACAAGUCUUCCGUUAAAUCCAACGAUCUAAUCGUUGGGCUGCGGGAGAUACUGUUGGGCUAGGAGGCGGGAGAAGCCGACGGUAUUCUCGGGGUAGGGGUGAAAUCCUGUAAUCCCGGGAGGACCACCAGUGGCGAAGGCGGUCGGCUAGAACGCGCUCGACGGUGAGGGACGAAAGCUGGGGGAGCGAACCGGAUUAGAAACCCGGGUAGUCCCAGCUGUAAACGAUGCGGGCUAGGUGUUGGGGUGGCCACGAGCCACUUCAGUGCCGCAUGGAAGCAAUUAAGCCCGCCGCCUGGGGAGUACGGCCGCAAGGCUGAAACUUAAAGGAAUUGGCGGGGGAGCACCACAGGCGUGAAGCUUGCGGUUUAUUGGAAUCACGCCGGA
rnacentral:rRNA from 1 species